UAGCAGAGGUCUCAACCGUUGUUCGGAUUCAUUGGGCGUAAAGGGUGCGUAGGCGGUCGCGCAAGGUCGGAAUGUGAAAUCUCAGGGCUCAACCCUGAAACUGCGAUUCGAUACUGCGUGGCUAGAGUGCUGGAGAGGAGACAUGGAAUUUACGGUGUAGCAGUGAAAUGCGUAGAUAUCGUAAGGAAGACCAGUGGCGAAGGCGAGUCUCUGGACAGCAACUGGACGCUGAAGGCACGAAGGCCAGGGGAGCAAACGGG
rnacentral:rRNA from 1 species